UACGUAGGGUGCAAGCGUUAAUCGGAAUUACUGGGCGUAAAGCGUGCGCAGGCGGUUUUGUAAGUCUGUCGUGAAAGCCCCGGGCUCAACCUGGGAAUUGCGAUGGAGACUGCAAGGCUUGAAUCUGGCAGAGGGGGGUAGAAUUCCACGUGUAGCAGUGAAGUGCGUAGAGAUGUGGAGGAACACCGAUGGCGAAGGCAGCCCCCUGGGUCAAGAUUGACGCUCAUGCACGAAAGCGUGGGGAGCAAACAGG
rnacentral:rRNA from 1 species